rnacentral:rRNA from 1 species
CGACCGCGUGUGUGAUGAAGGCCUUCGGGUUGGUAAAGACACUGUCGGAGGGGAAGGAAUCAAUGACGGUACCCUCCAAGAAAGACCCCGGCUAACUACGUGC